UUAAUCCUGCGAUGAUCGUCAACUCAGGAUGUCUUAAACCGAUGUUGUUUUUUAGGGAAUUUUAUAAUCUGAACUAGACAAUAGGCCUUGAUUGCUAGGGGACAUUGGAAGGUUUGGUGCGAAUGCCCACCUGCGAGAGCGGGUUUUAAGACACUUAGAGUAACGACAGAGUGGGAGCAUU
rnacentral:other from 1 species